rnacentral:misc_RNA from 2 species
AACUUUUGGCAACGGAUCUCUUGGCUCUCGCAUCGAUAAGAACGCAGCGAAAUGUGAUAAGUAAUGUGAAUUGCAGAAUUCAGUGAAUCAUCGAAUCUUUGAACGCACCUUGCACUCCUUGGUAUUCCGAGGAGUAUGUCUGUUUGAGUGUCAUGAACUCCUUCAACUGUGCACACUUUGUGGUGCUCAGCUUGGUUUCUGAGGGUUGCUGUCGUUAGUUAGCUCCCUCGUAAUACAUUAGCGGCCGUUGUUGAUCUCGGAUCGACUCAGUGUGAUAGACUAUUCGCUGAGGACGAGAUUGGUCGGACGCUUCGAGUGACGGCUAGUCAUACUUUGAAUUAGACCUCAAAUCAGAUAGGAUUACCCGCUGAACUUAAGCAUAUCAAUAAGCGGAGGCU